rnacentral:rRNA from 1 species
UACGUAGGGUGCGAGCGUUUGUCCGGAAUUACUGGGCGUAAAGAGCUCGUAGGUGGUUUGUCGCGUUGUUCGUGAAAACUCACAGCUUAACUGUGGGCGUGCGGGCGAUACGGGCAGACUGGAGUACUGCAGGGGGAGACUGGAAUUCCUGGUGUAGCGGUGGAAUGCGCAGAUAUCAGGAGGAACACCGGUGGCGAAGGCGGCUUCUGGGUCUUACCUGACGCUGAGGAACGAAAGCCAGGGGAGCGAACGGGA